AGUCGAGCGAGCUUGCCUAGAUGAUUUUAGUGCUUGCACUAAAUGAAACUAGAUACCAGCGAGCGGCGGACGGGUGAGUAACACGUGGGUAACCUGCCCAAGAGACUGGGAUAACACCUGGAAACAGAUGCUAAUACCGGAUAACAACACUAGACGCAUGUCUAGAGUUUGAAAGAUGGUUCUGCUAUCACUCUUGGAUGGACCUGCGGUGCAUUAGCUAGUUGGUAAGGUAACGGCUUACCAAGGCAAUGAUGCAUAGCCGAGUUGAGAGACUGAUCGGCCACAUUGGGACUGAGACACGGCCCAAACUCCUACGGGAGGCAGCAGUAGGGAAUCUUCCACAAUGGACGAAAGUCUGAUGGAGCAACGCCGCGUGAGUGAAGAAGGGUUUCGGCUCGUAAAGCUCUGUUGGUAGUGAAGAAAGAUAGAGGUAGUAACUGGCCUUUAUUUGACGGUAAUUACUUAGAAAGUCACGGCUAACUACGUGCCAGCAGCCGCGGUAAUACGUAGGUGGCAAGCGUUGUCCGGAUUUAUUGGGCGUAAAGCGAGUGCAGGCGGUUCAAUAAGUCUGAUGUGAAAGCCUUCGGCUCAACCGGAGAAUUGCAUCAGAAACUGUUGAACUUGAGUGCAGAAGAGGAGAGUGGAACUCCAUGUGUAGCGGUGGAAUGCGUAGAUAUAUGGAAGAACACCAGUGGCGAAGGCGGCUCUCUGGUCUGCAACUGACGCUGAGGCUCGAAAGCAUGGGUAGCGAACAGGAUUAGAUACCCUGGUAGUCCACGCCGUAAA
rnacentral:rRNA from 1 species